UACGAGUGCCCCGAGCGUUAUCCGGAAUCAUUGGGCGUAAAGGGUGCGUAGGUGGUUUUGUUAGUCUCCUGUUAAAUUCUUCGGCUCAACCGGGGUUCUGCAGGGGAAACGGCAAGACUAGAGGGUGUGAGAGGUGUGUAGAACUCAUGGUGUAGGGGUGAAAUCCGUUGAUAUCAUGGGGAAUACCAAAUGCGAAGGCAGCACACUGGCACAUUCCUGACACUGAGGCACGAAAGCGUGGGUAUCGAACGGG
rnacentral:misc_RNA from 1 species